CAGUGCCGCGGUAAUACGAAGGGUGCAAGCGUUAAUCGGAAUUACUGGGCGUAAAGCGUGCGUAGGCGGUUUGUUAAGUCUGUUGUGAAAUCCCCGGGCUCAACCUGGGAAUGGCAAUGGAUACUGGCAAGCUAGAGUGUGUCAGAGGAUGGUGGAAUUCCCGGUGUAGCGGUGAAAUGCGUAGAGAUCGGGAGGAACAUCAGUGGCGAAGGCGGCCAUCUGGGACAACACUGACGCUGAGGCACGAAAGCGUGGGGAGCAAACAGGAUUAGAGACCCGAGUAGUCCCUGUCUCUUAUACA
rnacentral:rRNA from 1 species